CUGUGAGCUCGAUGAGUAGGGCGGGACACGUGGUAUCCUGUCUGAAUAUGGGGGGACCAUCCUCCAAGGCUAAAUACUCCUGACUGACCGAUAGUGAACCAGUACCGUGAGGGAAAGGCGAAAAGAACCCCGGCGAGGGGAGUGAAAAAGAACCUGAAACCGUGUACGUACAAGCAGUGGGAGCACAGAGCAAUCUGUGUGACUGCGUACCUUUUGUAUAAUGGGUCAGCGACUUAUAUUCUGUAGCAAGGUUAACCGAAUAGGGGAGCCGAAGGGAAACCGAGUCUUAACUGGGCGUUAAGUUGCAGGGUAUAGACCCGAAACCCGGUGAUCUAGCCAUGGGCAGGUUGAAGGUUGGGUAACACUAACUGGAGGACCGAACCGACUAAUGUUGAAAAAUUAGCGGAUGACUUGUGGCUGGGGGUGAAAGGCCAAUCAAACCGGGAGAUAGCUGGUUCUCCCCGAAAGCUAUUUAGGUAGCGCCUCGUGAAUUCAUCUCCGGGGGUAGAGCACUGUUUCGGCAAGGGGGUCAUCCCGACUUACCAACCCGAUGCAAACUGCGAAUACCGGAGAAUGUUAUCACGGGAGACACACGGCGGGUGCUAACGUCCGUCGUGAAGAGGGAAACAACCCAGACCGCCAGCUAAGGUCCCAAAGUCAUGGUUAAGUGGGAAACGAUGUGGGAAGGCCCAGACAGCCAGGAUGUUGGCUUAGAAGCAGCCAUCAUUUAAAGAAAGCGUAAUAGCUCACUGGUCGAGUCGGCCUGCGCGGAAGAUGUAACGGGGCUAAACCAUGCACCGAAGCUGCGGCAGCGACGCUUAUGCGUUGUUGGGUAGGGGAGCGUUCUGUAAGCCUGCGAAGGUGUGCUGUGAGGCAUGCUGGAGGUAUCAGAAGUGCGAAUGCUGACAUAAGUAACGAUAAAGCGGGUGAAAAGCCCGCUCGCCGGAAGACCAAGGGUUCCUGUCCAACGUUAAUCGGGGCAGGGUGAGUCGACCCCUAAGGCGAGGCCGAAAGGCGUAGUCGAUGGGAAACAGGUUAAUAUUCCUGUACUUGGUGUUACUGCGAAGGGGGGACGGAGAAGGCUAUGUUGGCCGGGCGACGGUUGUCCCGGUUUAAGCGUGUAGGCUGGUUUUCCAGGCAAAUCCGGAAAAUCAAGGCUGAGGCGUGAUGACGAGGCACUACGGUGCUGAAGCAACAAAUGCCCUGCUUCCAGGAAAAGCCUCUAAGCAUCAGGUAACAUCAAAUCGUACCCCAAACCGACACAGGUGGUCAGGUAGAGAAUACCAAGGCGCUUGAGAGAACUCGGGUGAAGGAACUAGGCAAAAUGGUGCCGUAACUUCGGGAGAAGGCACGCUGAUAUGUAGGUGAAGUCCCUCGCGGAUGGAGCUGAAAUCAGUCGAAGAUACCAGCUGGCUGCAACUGUUUAUUAAAAACACAGCACUGUGCAAACACGAAAGUGGACGUAUACGGUGUGACGCCUGCCCGGUGCCGGAAGGUUAAUUGAUGGGGUCAGCGCAAGCGAAGCUCUUGAUCGAAGCCCCGGUAAACGGCGGCCGUAACUAUAACGGUCCUAAGGUAGCGAAAUUCCUUGUCGGGUAAGUUCCGACCUGCACGAAUGGCGUAAUGAUGGCCAGGCUGUCUCCACCCGAGACUCAGUGAAAUUGAACUCGCUGUGAAGAUGCAGUGUACCCGCGGCAAGACGGAAAGACCCCGUGAACCUUUACUAUAGCUUGACACUGAACAUUGAGCCUUGAUGUGUAG
rnacentral:rRNA from 1 species